rnacentral:rRNA from 1 species
AUUGAACGCUGGCGGAAUGCUUUACACAUGCAAGUCGAACGGCAGCACGGGGGCAACCCUGGUGGCGAGUGGCGAACGGGUGAGUAAUACAUCGGAACGUGCCCAGUCGUGGGGGAUAACUACGCGAAAGCGUAGCUAAUACCGCAUACGAACUCAGGUUGAAAGCGGGGGAUCGCAAGACCUCGCGCGAUUGGAGCGGCCGAUGGCAGAUUAGGUAGUUGGUGGGGUAAAGGCUCACCAAGCCGACGAUCUGUAGCUGGUCUGAGAGGACGACCAGCCACACUGGGACUGAGACACGGCCCAGACUCCUACGGGAGGCAGCAGUGGGGAAUUUUGGACAAUGGGCGCAAGCCUGAUCCAGCCAUUCCGCGUGCAGGAUGAAGGCCCUCGGGUUGUAAACUGCUUUUGUACGGAACGAAACGCGCCGGGUUAAUACCCUGGCGUAAUGACGGUACCGUAAGAAUAAGCACCGGCUAACUACGUGCCAGCCGCCGCAGUAACAC